rnacentral:lncRNA from 1 species
GACAUUAUGGUUCAGUUGGUUCUAUGUUAUUUGGAUACACGUGGUUUGUGAAAUUAAUGAAGUACUUAUGAAUUUCAUAGGAAAUUAUGAAAUUAGUUUUCUAUCCCUCGUGGUAGUGUGUUUUUAAAGGAAAAGGGUUUUUGUGUGGGAAAUAGUUUUAAAAAGUAUUUUCUGAUUUUCAUGAAUCUUAGUAUUUCAAAAUAAGUUUUCGAGUGAAAAACAUUUUAAAUUGAUAGAUAUAGAAUUAUGAAUAUCAUAUGGUAAACUUGUGAUGGAAUGAAUGUGAUGUGGUGAUUGUAUGUGGAUGAUUAUACUAUGUGGUUGUAUUUUGUACUUGUGUGACGUCGUGUAAAUGUAAGAGAGACUCUGUCCGUGUGAACAGUGAAUUUUCUGUAUUUGUGGCGGAUCUGACGU